rnacentral:rRNA from 1 species
AGUGAACGCUGGCGGCAGGCCUAACACAUGCAAGUCGAACGGCAGCGCAGCAGUAGCAAUACUGUGGGCGGCGAGUGGCGGACGGGUGAGGAAUACAUCGGAAUCUACCUUGUCGUGGGGGAUAACGUAGGGAAACUUACGCUAAUACCGCAUACGACCUACGGGUGAAAGCGGCAGACCGCAAGGCGUCGCGCGAUUGGAUGAGCCGAUGUCCGAUUAGCUAGUUGGCGGGGUAAAGGCCCACCAAGGCGACGAUCGGUAGCUGGUCUGAGAGGAUGAUCAGCCACACUGGAACUGAGACACGGUCCAGACUCCUACGGGGGGCAGCAGUGGGGAAUAUUGGACAAUGGGCGCAAGCCUGAUCCAGCCAUGCCGCGUGUGUGAAGAAGGCCUUCGGGUUGUAAAGCACUUUUGGCAGGAACGAAACGGUGCGGGCGAAUACCCUGUGCUAAUGACGGUACCUGCAGAAUAAGCACCGGCUAACUACGUGCCAGCCGCCGCCGUAACAC